UCUUUAUAGGAAUCGGUGAAUCCAACGAUAUAGGCAUUCUGUGUGGUAUGAAAAUUUCAGUGCAAGGAGAAAUAUAUUAAACACAGAGACAGAGAAAAAAAAAGAGAGACACAUUCACAAGUGGGAUGUAUCUGCGGCUUGAGAUUAAAACCAAGGACGACAUGCAGCGCAGAGAGACGCGAGGACGAAUACCAUGCGUUCGUACAUGUAAUCUUCCUGCCUACUCCUCCAAUAGUCUGUAAAAUUACGUAAACUCUUAGUUUUCGAAGAGACAGAAUUCCAUCAUUUAUAUAAAUAAUCUACGAAAGGAAUGGAAAAGGGAAAUGAAAGUAAACAGAUUGACCUGAAAGUGGAAUGAAAAUAUAUUCUUCAAGAAAGAAGAAUCCAAUAUCUCAUCUAUGCUUUUAUUCUAUUUGUAACGCGCACGCGCGCGCGCUGGAGCAAGUUUAAUCAAAUUAACUGCCCACACGUAAGUCUACGUGUCAAGAUAAAGGUAAGCGAGAACUAUGGUCACCUUCAAGAAACACUAUGUGCCUUGGAUACGAUGUGAAAUAUUGAUUUCAGGCUGCAUACAUUAGUGCCACGAGGAAACGCGUGAUCUAGAGAAACGCCGAAGUCACCGCGAGUGAAAUGGCCAAUUCUUUCACACAGUAUAACUCGGAACGCAAACGAUAUGUAUUUUAAGUGACAUUUCAGUAUCGAUAUCCGCGCGAUAGCGAUAAACAAUGCCUUUGAGAAGCUAAUAGACUUUAGGAAGUGACUUUCGCUUGUGGAAAACGUUAGCAUAAGUGGAGGACCUUCAGCGCGCUUAUAUAAGAUAUCGUGGUAUUCUCGGGAUCUUACGCAGGUGUACAUUUUUUUCAACAAAAUCGAAUGUUAAUUUCUCAGCGUGCUAUUGAAGUUCAUAUCUCUGAUUAUCGUCACUUCCCAUAAUUUUCAAUUUAAAAUCUUUUAACAUCUUAUACUCUAAACUAGUGCGAAAAAUUUUAUUGAUGACUGUGAGAGUUAUGAAACUACAAAUUGAUUUGCAGAAAGACAUGAUUUACCUAGGCAGAUGUAAGUAGGGCAUUGGGUCAUCGCGCGUCACAUCGAUGCAAUAUUACAAGCUUAUCCACGAUCUGUGAUCCAUGAGUUUCCGAGUGUGUUAGGCGCAUGUCUCCCGCCCUUACACAACAAAUGGCCUUUUGGAUCUGUCGAGUUUCACAAAAACAGCAAGCGUUUAUGAUCGACGGCGUAUAAACUGUAGAGAGACUGGAAAGACGAAAGAAGUGCGCAGAGUGCGACAAAGAUGAAGAGUGUGGUUGACUCGUGUUUACGGGAUCAAAGAGCGAUACGCGUACACGUGUAGGGAAAAAGAGAAGAGUUGUGAUGGCUAACGGUAGAUGCGCUAUUGCGAGUGACGACGGCGGCCUUCCGUUUUCUCAGGCACUCCUAUGCAAGGGAGGCCACGUGCAUUCGUUCGUUCCGCUGAGUCGUUGCGAUUCGUAAACAGAUUCGCAUUCGCAUUUGCAAAUCACGGCCAAUGCGGAGAGUCCACAGAGAACCAUAAUUUGAUUCCUGAAUUUUUCGCUGAAAUAAUUACCAUGGAUCCUGCAUGUAAGCGGCAGGUGCUCAGGAGACUCUUCGAGACUUACGAUAACAACCGCGACUCUCGCCUUAUAAUUACACAGAGAUAAAUGCUGUGGAAAUAUUUUGUUAGUUCAAUAAUAAUAUUAAUGAAGCAAAAAGAUUAAAAGUAAAGACAUUAACAAAUAUAGUUGAAUGAAUAAAAUUUAGUUGAAUCAAUCACUACAUAUGUUAAUGGCAGCCCGUGAUUCAACGUUUAAUUGAAUCAAACUACAUUUUAAUUCAUAUUACAGUUUUUUUUUCUUAGUGUAGAAAUAAAAUAGUAGCGCAGGGAUUCCCAAAAUAUUGAUCGCGAGUCGAUUCUUAGUGAGUUGCAAAAAAUUUUUCAGAAAUCAAAAUCAAAUUUCGAAAUAAACUAUAAUUAUUGAACUCUUGGAAUAUAAAAAUUAUACACAUUGAUGCAAUAUCAAAAAUAUUAAUAAAAAUAAAAAAUAACCAUUUUUUUUAACUUUUAUAUCUAAUAUUUUAAGAAAUAGAUUCAUAAAAUUUAUGUUAGAUAAAAAAUUAAGAAAUAGAAGGAAUAAAAUAAUAAAAAAUAAAUAACUUAAGCUCCUCCCCCCUUCUUCUCUUUCGUUUUUUCAUAAUUCCUAAAGAUGGGUCGAGAAUAUUUGCUAUUUUAAAAUAAUGGAUCGCGAUUCGCAUAAGUUUGGGAAACCCUGAUGUAGAGAAUAUUCUUAGACGCAUUGCGAACAAGCAAUAAUACAUGUUUCAUAAUUAUCACUGCACAUAAAAUUAAUCUUUUAAUUGAUAGACGCCUCGCAGAAAUAUUACCAUAUCUCUCAUCUGAUAUGAAUAUUUAAUCCAUUCCGAAUUUACGUCUUUCUUCACGAGAAACCUCUAGAUAGCUGAGUCAUAAAUUUCGAUAAAUGAAAAGCAGGAGAAAGCGUACAUGAAUAUAUUGAAUAUAAUUAUUUGUAUAAUUAAAUAUAAGUAAAUAUAUUUAAUUUUAAUAAUUAAAUAUAAGUAAAUGUAUUUCUCAAACGUAAAAAAUAUGUGAGCCAAGCAAAAUAUCUUCCGCAAUUAAUUUUAGGUGAAAUAUGCUUCAAUAGAAUUUCGAUCUGAAAACCGAGCACUGAAAUAUUUAUGCUGUAACUGAAAUUGUCUGAACGAUCCGAGACUUGUGCUACGGCUCCGUAGAACCUCAGAGAAGCAACGAUCGAAGUUAAAUUAAAGGAUUCGCGAGCGACGGAUAUUAUCGACGCGUGGCAUGGCAUGGCUGGGGUCGAGUGUACGCAUGCAUUAUAUGCCUCAUGCUACGUAUAUAUAUUGUAACUUCGAGCGGCUCACGCUUUCCAUUCAUAAUAAUCAGAAUUUUAGCAGCGGUAGUCGCGACUGCUUAAUCAUGCUACUCAGCGAUUUACGACCAACAACGAUAUAUUCCUUUCGUGAAGAACAUGUGUUGACGAAUUUAAUUUUUAAUGAAUUUCGUAUACAGACAGCUUUCGUAAUACAUCUUGAAACUUUGCUAGCAAUGUAUGUGCUUUUUAUAAAAGCACAAAAAAUGUUGUACAUUAGUUACGCUCUAAUGUUUAAUAUAUUAUGAAACAAACGCA